UUUUUUUUCUUACCUUUUUUUCCUCAAAUAUAUAACCUUAACCAAAAUGAUUUUAUUCAUUUUAGAAAACUUGAAAAGAAAAAGUAAAUAUAGUUAAAAUUAGUUAAAAUAUAUAUAUAUAAUUUAUUUAAUAUUUAUAUAAAAUAAUUAUAUAGAAAAAAACCAUAUAUACAUAUAUAAAACAGUUUGAAAUAAUAUAUAAAAAUAAUUUAUUAACUUUAAAUUUAUCCCAUAUCAAAAUACCAUUUUCUAAAAAAUACAAAAUGUCAAAAACAUCUUUAUCCAAACAACAUUAUAUUUUUAUUAUUUAAAAAAAUAUAUUUCUUUAAAAUAGAGAUUAUUUUAUCUUUUUUUUUUUAUGGCCAAAUUUUCUUAGAAAAAUAUGUUUAUAGAAAAAGCUUGGACAAUGAUUGAUAGAUACAUUGAAAGAUACAAAUAAUCGAAUUAUUUAGUCCAUCAAUUCUUAACUUUUGGUUUUAAAAAUAAAAUAUUUUAUUUUAUUUUAUUCUUAAAAUUUGAGAUUAAAAAUAAAAAAACCCUUUCUUUUAAUAGAUAAGAAGGAGGUGCCACUUGUCCGAAAAUGACACCUUGCACUCAGUGGAGCGCGAUGAGCAAAUGGUGGAGUGGCAAUAGUUGUUUUUUUAUUUUUAUUUUUUUCGUCUCUCCCAUAUUUCUUUUUCCGUCUCAUCUCUUCCAAAUUUCGCUGCCAAUUCCCUCUGGAAGAAACCCUAACGUUCGAAAAUAGAGAAAAAGGGUUGAAGAGCGUUUUUGGAUGGUGAAGGAAUUCCUGAGUUGAAACGGACGAUCGAUCCGAGUCGCCGUGGUUAUUUGCUCAAUCCUCCGAUGGGCGCUGCAGGUUCGAAGCUCGAGAAAGCUCUUGGCGAUCAGUUCCCCGAAGGCGAGCGAUACUUCGGGCUCGAGAAUUUUGGCAACACUUGCUAUUGCAACAGCGUCUUGCAGGUUCGAUUCUAUUGAAUUUGAUUUCAAAUCUCUGUCUUUUUUUUUAUUUUUUAUUUUUAUUGGAUCAUUGUUGAUAUUGUAGAUUUUGUAUUUAUUGAGCGAUUAUAGGUUGAAUGAUAGGUUUAAUAUGUGAUUUUUUUGUUUGGAUUUCGGGUUUGAUGAUGAAUAUUGGUGCUCAAUUGAAAUUCUUAUGGAUUUUUAUAUUAGGUUAGUUUUAUGAAUAGGUGUACUCUAAAACGUGGGAUCCUGGGCUCUUACUGAAUAGUCAAUUAGAUGGAUAUUUUUUGUGUAUUUCUGGUCAUGGAGGAGGAUGACCAGCAAGAAUGUUUUCAUCUAGGGUUGUUGAAAAUUUGAAAUAUAGGCAUGUCUAGUCACUGAAUUAUGAAGAUAUGUUGAAAAAGAUUUUACCAACAAUUACUACCUAAUGAUGUUACUUGUUUUCUGCAGGCUCUUUAUUUUUGUGUUCCAUUUCGUGAACAAUUGCUAGAAUAUUACACAAAUAACAAAAAUCUCGCAGAUGCAGAAGAAAAUCUAUUGACAUGCUUGGCAGACUUAUUCAUGCAGGUAAUGUUUCUACCAGUAAUGUUGGACUAAUUUUUGCAUUCCAUUGGUUAAUUGUGAUCUGUUGAAUUUACUGAUCAAAUAGGUCUGCCAAGGAUAAAGGCAAUAAUAAUUUUACUGAUUAAGCAGGAUUUAGUAGUUCGAAUUCAGAAUUUUUGGUUUGGAUUUUGGGUUUCCCCUCAUAAUUCUUCACUCUGCAGCUAUUUAUUCAUGCAAUGAAAAACUAGGGAUUUUAUUCUUGCCUAUACUGCAAUGCUCUUAAAUACAGUUUUUUCUUUAUCUAUCUAUCAAUCUAUUUUUAUACACAAAUACACACAUACACAAAGAAAUAUGCUUCUGCUGUUGCAAGCAGUGGUUUGAUCUUAUGAUUUUGUUGCUAUGUUAAAUGAAGUACUGGUUCAUCGUUUUCUUGUGACUUUGUCUUUCUUUGAACUGACAGAUUCUAUUUAUGGUUGGCUUAGCUUAAACCCAAAUUUAGCAUGAAGAAUAUACAAGUAGCCCUCGAAGGCUUAGGUGGCAAAGAUUUGAAGUGGGGAUGAGAUGAUCCCUGGUUCAAUUCACCAAAAAAAGAGGACAUUAUAAAUAAAUAAAUAAAUAAAUAACCUGUAAAAAAGUAUUAAGAAUCAAGUUAGGCUGAGUGUUUGUUGUGUUUACAUCUUGUGUGCUUUGAUGUAUUGCUUUUUUGCCGUGUCUAUAAACUCUUAUUGCAUAAUGAGCUUUCCCAAUAUGUUUUUUUUUUUUUUUUUUUUUUGAUAGGUAAAAAAAAGCUUGCAUUAGAAACACCUAAAAGUGGCAAAAGCAAUACACACAAAGUAUACAAAUAAUGCCCCAAAAAGUGAAGUAGUAAGGAGAAAACUUCCCCUUACUUUACAAGAAACCAAUCUAUGAAAUCAAUCAUAGAUACAAUGUGAUCCUCUAUAUACACCCUAGCCCAAUUUAUAAAAGUAUACAUGAAUAAAGACUUAAUUGAUUGGUCAAACCGCUCAACGUUGUUAAAAGCUCUUCCAUUUCUUUCCUUUCAUAAAGUCCACAUUAAACAUAAGGGGGCAACCCUCCAUGCAUUCUUCCUUUUUAACCCACAAAAAGACCGUGCCAAUAUAAUAAAUUCCUCCUAAUUGAGGAAUGCAUAACCCAUUGUACGCCGAAAAGGGAGUAGAUCAAGCUCCACAACAUUCUAGCCUUGCCACAAAACAAAAGUAAGUGGUCGGUGGUUUUCUCCUCUUCUUUACACAAGUAGUAACACCUAUUCGGGAUAUUCCACCCCCUUCUUUUCAGCUGAUCGAGAGACAAAAUUCUGCUCCAAGACGCUUCCCAAACAAAAAAGCUCACCCUCAUUGGAGCCCAAGACCUCCAAAUCAUAUCCCAUGGAAAAGGAUUUUUAGAGACCCUUGUGUAGGAGCAAUAGAGGGACCUAACAGAAAAUUUUCCAUUCUUACUCUCUCUCCAACUAAAAAUGUCCUCCACUCCUCUUCUCACUGCCAAGGGCUGCAGUUUGCUGAACAAAGACUCAACUUUCCCAAUAUGUGACAUCUUAUCAUAUAAAAUCUUGUAGAGUUGCUUAAAUUUGUUGUUUUUAUGGCACGAUUAUUCUUAUACAAACCUAGCUUGUUUCUUCUAUAACCAAAGAUGCCUUCAAGCCAUGGAAGGACCUCACACAAUUAAAUAUAUACAGCACACAUGGUAGAAGGUGGAAAAAAUGGAUGUGGACGAUCUUUACCUUCGUUAAAUGCAAGUUUUUUUUUUUGUCUGCCAUUAAGUAUCCUCUACAAGAGUUCCCAUUUUAAAUUUAUCCAAGCAGUUGAAUACAAGAGAUGCCUUGACUUAUGCAUUGGUUCAAAGUUUCAUGUUAGGUAUUCCUCUUCGAAGUUUCAUAUUACUAUAUUUGAUAUUCCUCUUCAAAGUUUCAUAUUAGGGAUUUAGAUGUUCCAGGGCCUUUUGUUAUGAUGGCUGAUAUGCAUCUGUAGUUUUUGAACAUUUACUUGUUAAUUAUCAAGUCACAACUAACCUAACCUUGCUGCAAAUUGAUCCCUUGCAUCUUCAUUAUGAGGUGUCGUUUGUUUGAAUGUGAGAAAGCAAAUAGCGUCUGAAGGGUUCAAAUGGUCUGUGGACCCUGAAAAAGGUGUAGAAGGUUUGGAAUGAAAAUUUGUUAUUUUCAUUAUAAAUUGGUUAUGUUUUACAGUUUCAGUAAUUCCCAAGGGCCAUUGGUGGUUUCAGUUGAGUUGUAUGGUUUCAGUGGGUUGGGCUGCAUUUGAAGUUUCAUGCUUUUUCAUUAGGAUUUUUGAAUCUUCUUAUUGGAAUCGUAACUACAAUUUCCUGGUUGGAACAUGGGGCAAACCUUAAACUAAAACAUUGUAGAUUGGACUCCCAAGGGUGCCAAAACACUUGGAUUUUCCCAAUAGGACCAGUCUGCAGAUGAGUGUGCGCAUUUGGCAUUUAUCUUAAAUCAUUAUGGCUGAUGAGUGGUUUGGGCAUAGAAUUUUCCUCUGUUAUCAAAAAUGCUUUCCUGAUUGAUUGGAUGUGAAAAUUAUUGGUACGAUUGUUUUUGGGAGCAAUGCUAGUUUUUGUUAUUUUGGAAUGUUUAGGGUGUUAUUCAAGUUGUAUUUGUACUAUUUUUUACACAUGCCCAUAGCAUGUGGGUGCUUAAUGAUAGCACUUAUUAGCCUCACUAUCCAUAAUUUUAACUCAUCAUUGUGUUAUAUUAUUUAGGUGCGAGUACCAUUAGUUUCCAAUACUUUUGAAUUUUAUUGUGGUGUAUUUGGUACAGUGAUGAAUUCCACUAACAGAGCUGAAGGGAAAACUUGAUGAAGCAAGACUUAAAAUGUACUUAAUUGUUUGGAUAAACAUUGAACAGGUAAAGCAUUCAUAUUAAUGUAUUAAUGGUUGAUGAUCUGCAUUACCUAGAGAAUCUGUCUUCCCCAUUCAAAGUCAUUGGGUGGUUUUAAGCCAUAACUGCACUACAUUCUUCAGAAGGCAAAUUCUGGAAUGCAUGCUACAGAACACAUUAAUUAUGAAUUCUUUGGCUCAAGGCUUUGAAAGUAUUGUGGAGGGGGAGGAAGUCGUUAGUUUGCCUAGUAGCUUUGUCAAGUUCAGUAGCAGUUUGGGGAUGCCGGUUGUGGGCUUAGAGAAGGAAAUCAGUUCUCUUCUUAAGAAACUGAAUUCGAGAAAAGGGAGGGGGGUUAAAGAGGUCAGGGAGAAAGAAGAAAUCUUUGCCUUCUUCCUGUUUUGAGAGGGAAAUCCGAAAGCUAGAGAGUUUGGUUAACUACGAUUGCUUUCCAUCCACUGUAAGGGGAAAGGGGAGGGGUGCCGGAGUUUAGGGAAGGGGUUGGGCUUGGGCUCAGGAAGAUUUAGUGCUCAAGAAGGGUUUCAUUUUUGGGUUGUAGUAAGGGUUUUUCUCUCUCUUGUGUCUCAGUUUCUUUUGUGGCUGUUUGUUGUUAGGGUGGUUGGUUUUUCUUCUUCUUUCUCAUGCUUGCCAAUCGGCCCUAAUUGUGUACUCUGUGUGUACUUUGUUGUGCCUUUUGGCAAGUGCUUUUAAUAUAUCCUGCUUAUUUACCUAUCAAAAUAUAUAUAUAUAUAUAUAUAUAUAUAUGUAUAUGAAUUCUUUUGUACAUGAAUGGCAGAUUUUAUUUAUACUAUUUUUGGAUUUGCCUUCCUAUCUUUUUGUUCCCACUUUUCUUGCCCCAUUUUGAAAAAAAGCUGAUUAAGUAUUUGCAAACCUUUUUCCUUUUUGAGAAUAGUUUUUUUUUUUUAAAUAGAAACAGCCAUCAUUGGAUCCCAACAAGAAGCAGCUCUAGGAUUUCCACCUAAAGGGAGACCUAAAUAAGUAAGGGGCCAAAUAGAGACUCUACAAUCCAACAACAAGGUUAGUCUUGAAUAGAGUCCUCACUGAUGUUAAUACCGCCCAAGGAGCUUUUUUCUAGAUUGAUCUUUAAGCUUGAUAUGUAUUCAAAAACCAUUAAGAUAUAUUUAAGGUAUUGCAACCCCUUUUGAUUAGCUUUUGAGAAAAAAAUUGUAUCAUUUGCAAAUUGAAGGAGUGACACCCUUGUCUUGUCCUUCCCUCCCUAAAAGUCUUCUAAAUCUGUCUUCAGCUCUUGCAACUAUUCUACUCAAAACAUCCACAGCAAUAGUGAAUAGAAAAGGGGAGAGAGGGUUGCCUUUUCUUAAGCCUCCGGACACUUUAACCCAACCUUUGGAACUCCCAUUCGCUAGAAUGGCAAAAGUCUUAGAAGAUAAACAUCCCCAAAUCCACAGCCUCCACUUUGGACUGGUAUUUAUAUUUUUGAGAAUAGUUGAAUGAUACAUGCUUAUCUGUAUUUUGAGGACAUGUCUUUUAGAUGUUUUAUCCUGCUGAAUGAUGCACUAGUGGAGAGAUGAGAAACGUUAGUCAGAGCACUAUUGUUCUCUCACUAUCUCUCUCCUUGCUAACAUUAUCUUUUUUUUGAAAAAAAUUACAUGCCAUGGCAUAUGCAUAGUAGUUACUUGUUAACUCCAUAAAUCAUGAUACUAGGGCCAACAUUUGAUUGUUUCUUUGUGUAGAUAAGCUCACAGAAGAAGAAAACAGGUGUUAUUGCACCAAAGCGUUUUGUACAGAGGCUGAAGAAACAAAAUGAGCUUUUUCGCAGCUAUAUGCACCAGGUAUGUAUUUAACAUGAAGGGCCUGAAAAGGAAAAUGAAGGCUAUUGAGGUUACUGAGAUAGCAAACACGUCAGCUAUCAAUGUCACCAAAGUUGUUCAGUUGAUUUGAAUCAUAACUCUUCUGUUAAAAUCCUUGUGCUUGAUGGAUCCAAUUAUUUUGUGAGUCUGAUGCGAUACCAAUGGUGUUCCCAUGAUUUCUUUGGUUUUGCAGUCAUAUGUGUUAACUAUAGCUGAGGAUUUCUGCUCUUAAAUUCUGUAUGGUGCUUCUUCAAUACAACCCUCAUUUAUCACACUGAUUGCAUGAUCUUCAUAAUACCUGUAACCUCCAUAAAAUGACAGAGAUUGGUUGCAUCCCAAUGAACUUGUUUAAUGUUCUCACAUGUGCAUUAGAUGACUCACAAUUGUGUCUUGUUUUUUACCAGCAUUUAUAUAUAAGAUAGGACUGUAUUAGAGUGCUUGGAUAAAUUAUUUUUUUCAGUAGACUCAUCCGAAGAUGUGUGCAACUGAACUAAGCUCAACAGUGUGUUACUACGAGCAGAAAUGAGUGAAUCGCAGUGGAGAUUUUGGGAUGAACCGAUACCACAUGGAUUCUGGGGAAGGCUCACAAUAAACAAGUGUAUAGCCUAUGGAGACCACCCUUCCGCUCAUGAAUCUACAUUAUAUUAGAAAUUUUUCUUCUGGUGUUUCAAAUGUAGUUAUUAAGUUCAUCUUGGGAUCUUUUUAUGCAAAUGAAUGUAGUGAUCAAAUACAAUUUUGAGGUGGAUUUUCCCCAAAAUUACUGGUAGAGGUACUGUAGCUCAAAGGUGGCAGCUACUAUGCCCCUUCAAAAAUAAAAAAUGAUCCCCAACCCUGAAUUUUUUCUUUUUUAAAAAUACCUAACUUUAUCUGUGGUUUUUGAAAAAUAAAACAGAAAUAGCCCUUCUCCUCCCCUUCAGUAUAUAGAAAAAUGAUCUUUUUUUUUAAAUCCCAACUAUGAAGUUACAUUCUUUCCUUUCAAAUGCAAAUACCCAUUACCAAAACUCUUAUCAAUGAGCCUAGACUCAAUGGUUAAUCCAUAAUUGUCUGCAAAGAUAAAAACACUUCAUUAAUUUUCAGUUGCUUGAAAUAUAUAUAUAAUGUACAUAUGUAAUGUAUGCAUAUGUGUGUGUGUGUGUAAUGUUGCUUGCACACCAUUUGAAUAAUUCUUAAAUGAAAGUACCUUCAUUCCUCUAAAACCACUUGUGUUCAAAUAUAUGAGAAAGAACCUAAAAUUUCUUAAUGGAAUUUAUUGAUUUUUCUUAUUAAUGAGAUAACUGAAGCUUAUGUUUACAAGUUUUCUUAGUAGAUAAUUUUUUAAAACUUAAAAUUCUCUAAUUGGUAUAUCGGUUGUUUCCAAUUUGCAUAUGAUCAUGUGUGCUAUUCAGAAACUUUGGUCCUAUUUGGGAACUAUUUUUUAAUACAAUUUUCUGUUCUUUAGAAUAGAAAGGAGUUUCUGACUUAAAAACAUGUUUGACACUUGUUGACUGUAAACAGUUUUUUGAAAAUUUGUUUUGAAAUUAAGUUUUUUAGAACAAAUUUAAGCUGUUUUCAGUAUUUUUUUAUAGCAUGUAGAGAAACAACUGAAAAUAUGCAAAAUACUUUGAAAACUUUUGUAUCAUGCAUAAGAUCAUUUAUCAAAAAAACUUUUGUAUUAUACGUAAGUGUAUAGUAUCUUCAUGGGGAAUAAGUGAAGAAAACUGUUUUUCAUAUUUGAGUUUUGAAAAUAAUUGAAAGUUGUUUUAAAAACUGUUCUCAAAAACCGUUUUUUUAGAACAUUUUUCAAAACUGUUAACAAAUAAGCCUUUGGUUUUUUAUUUUUUAUUUUUGGAAUUUUUUCAAGAAUAUGUCAUUGAGAUGACUUAAUUUGAUAUACCAUAUGUUUGUUCUUUGGGUGUUUAUUCUUACCUUUUGUAACUAUGUUUGGAAGUGCUGGGUUACACUUUCAACACAUGAAAAUCUUUCGGUAUUUAUUACAAGUCUAAAGUUCUUUUUCAUUUUAUUUUUUUUAUGGGUAAAAAGAAGGAAUUUAUUAUAAAAUUCUCCUUGUUGGAGAGUGGCGCUGCACAAUCUUUCACUUUCCCCUCCCCUCUUUCUCCUCUCCAAUGUGACUUUCUGGAUCCUUGACUACUCAAUAGUUUUGCUGCAUGGGUAGAAAUGAGAAUGGUAGUUCUCUAGUAUUUCCAAUAUUAGCACUCAUCUUCAGAAUGUUUAUUGAUAACACGUUAAGUGGAUGAAAAGGCAUGUUAUUGUACUUUUUGUUUAAAUUUUUGUGAAAUGGAGAGACCCCAGCAUAUUCUAAAGAUGCCAGCAUGUACAUGGGGAUUUAUAUUCUAGAGAUGCCAAUGGGUGUGUAUGAGAGUAGUAGAGCAUAUUGUGCAAUUUCAGACUGUAGUGUGGGAUGCUAGGGAGUGCUCUAGUGACACUGGUUUAUAUCCCACGAAUUUUUGAUAUGGUGAACAUUCAGAUUGUAAUUUAGGAUGCUGGUUUACUGUAGAGAGUUUUAAAAUCCGUAAUCUUUACUGGGGUUUUUGUGUGUACUUCGGAGAGGUUGGUUCUUCCCCAGAAAUGCAAUAUAAAUAUACAUACACUUUUUUUAUAGGCUCCCUAGAAAUGUAAUAUGUGAGACCAUAAGCAGUUUCAUUUGGGAAAAUGUAAUGAAAUUCCAGUACAUGUGAUUACAAGAAUCCUGGAUGUAUUUGGACCUGUUUAUGGGGACCCCAAAUGACAAGUGGUAUAUGUCAGCGUUGGCCUUGUGUGCCACAGUUCUAAUGUGGUUGCAAGUUUGCAUAAACUGGCAGCCAAUUGCUCUGACACAUUACAACUUAUAGCUAUAAAGAAAUGCCUACUAGAUGCUUGCUUAUGAUAUCAGAAGAUUAUGGAGGAGAAAAUUGGUGUUCAUUUUAUCCUUGCCUUACCUAUGUAUACCUCAUAGAUGCAUCUUGACACAUCCUCUUCCAUCAUUAACUUAAAAAUUUAGUGUUUUUUGGGGAAGUGUCUUUCAUUCCUGCUGUUUAUUUAUUUAUUUUGGUAGGUAAAUAAAGAUUGUAUUAAAAAAAUGCCAGAAAGAGUGCGCCAAAGUACACAGUUGUUCAUUCCAGUUGUUUAUGCAAUCCAGAAAAUAAUAAAAUAAAAUUCAUUUUUCUUCCUUCUAGGAUGCACAUGAAUUUUUGAACUUCUUGCUAAAUGAACUUGUUGACAUACUGGAGAAGGAGGCUUCUGCUUCAAAAAGUGAUCCAGAAACCUCAUCCCCACCUGAGAAGACUGCAAAUGGGCCAAAGACUGCUCAGGCUAAUGGUGUUCAGAAAGAGCCUCUAGUUACCUGGGUGCACAAAAAUUUUCAGGUGAUUUUGUUCAGCCAAUUCAUAUGUUCAUAUUCACUUUUUGCUUGUGAUAUGCUAAAAUGUUAAAUCCUUGAGUAAAAUGUGGUGUGAUUGACCCUAAUUUGUGCCCUUAUAUUUUGCAUGCAUGAGGCUACAUAUUUACCAACCUUGUUGGUUCGAUCUGCCCAUUUUUCCUUUUCCUUUUCCUUUUUCCUCAUCUGUGCUGAACGAGGGGAAAAUUGCCUGUCAAGCACAAUGCACAGGACCAUAUCAGGCUUACCCUGGCAGAACCAAGCUCAUGGCCUUCUUUCUUUGUUGAUAUGAACUUAUGUUUUAUUUGGGCAGCCGCAAUUAGUUCCUCUCAAAUUUAACAGUGGUGAUUCUAUGUAUUAUUUCUUCAAUCCCAUAAGAAUUAUCCCUUCAUAUUUUGAUGGCUACUUGUGCCAGGGUAUACUCACAAAUGAGACAAGGUGCUUGCGGUGUGAAACAGUCACAGCAAGGGAUGAAACAUUUUUGGACUUGAGCCUGGAUAUUGAACAGAACAGUUCCAUCACAAGCUGUCUGAAAAAUUUUAGCUCAACAGAAACUUUGAAUGCAGAGGACAAAUUUUUCUGUGACAAAUGCUGCAGGUAGAGAUGGCCUUCAUUAAUCUUUGUAUUCACUCACCUCAGUUUAUUAUUAUCCUAUUGUGGUGAUUCUGUCAGUUUCAUUUUGAUCCUUAUGCUAACCUGUUCUCUGUUUAAUUAUGGGGGGGUAGAGUGGUAAAAAAAUUGAUCAUGCAUUUAGCGCUUGUUUGGAUACACUUCUUAUUUUUUUUUUUUUUUUUUUUUUAAGUAGUAAGUUGUAUAUAAAAUAUAAGAACUUUUACAUAAAAAGUUUGGAUAUAUCUUAAAUUCUUAAAAAUCACUUUUAAAAAUUUUUUAAAUUGAGGUAAUAAAGUUUUUUGAUGCCUCAAUUUUUUUAAACAGUUUUUAAAAGCCAUUAUCUUUUUAAGACAAGUCUCUAAGAUUUCUUAUAUUUUUUGUUAGAGGUUGCCACUUUCUGGAAAAACUGGUACUUGUUUUAGGGCCUUGCCACUAGGAAGAUAUUGGCUGCUGUUUUGCCCUUGCUUCCAUGUAUAUAUAUUCUUCUCUUUCUUUUGUAAAGUACAAAAUGUCCCAAAAGUGCAAUUUCACCCUAAUGUGAUGAUGUAGGACAUAGGAUGGUUGCCUACACUCAAGGGUAGGUGGGCUAGGGUUUUAUUUCUAGGGUGUAAGGAGAGGAACAAGGAAUAAAGUUUAUGGUAGAGAAAAUUAUAAGAUAAGGAAUAGAGAGAAAGAAGAAACAAUGAAGAAAAGAUGGAAAACCUUAAAGUCUCACUAAGGCCUUCUAGGAGUCUCACCUAGAAGAAAAUCAAUGGAGUCUCACCAUUGAGGGUUGCAACCUUGCAAUGAAAGAAAGUAUAAUAUCAUUCAUCAAAUUCAUCCAUUUGAUUUACAUUGAUUAGCCUAUUUAUAGGCUUCUCUAAGAAAUCCAAAGUCUACUAGGACUCUAAUAACCUAUCAUGACUCAAAUUCUAAUUAUAUUAUAACUCAAC
rnacentral:lncRNA from 1 species